GGUUAAGUUAAUAAGGGCGCACGGUGGAUGCCUUGGCACUAGAAGCCGAUGAAGGACGUGACUAACGACGAAAUGCCUUGGGGAGCUGUAAGUAAGCAAUGAUCCAGGG
rnacentral:rRNA from 1 species